rnacentral:rRNA from 1 species
GACAGAGGAGCCAAGCGUUGUCCGGAUUGACUGGGCGUAAAGCGCACGCAGGCGGUCGCGCGCGUGGGGUGUGAAAACUGGCGGCUUAACUGCCAGAGGCCAUCCCACACGGCGCAACUCGAGCCAUGCAGAGGUCCACGGAAUUGCCGGUGUAGUGGUGAAAUGCGUAGAUAUCGGGAGGAACACCAGUGGCGAAGGCGGCGACCUGGGCCAAUACUGACGCUGAGGUGCGAAAGCGUGGGGAGCAAACAGG